GCCUUCGAGAAUCCCCUCCCGAAUUCCUUGCGGUGAGCCUCUCUCCUCUAUCUUUCCCCGGCGACCACUGAAGUCGAUUUUGGCGAGGAUCCCUCUUGCCUCCCCUUGGAUAGGGUAUUUCUCCCUCUAGAUCUGGCGUGUAGGCCAUCAGAGAGACGAUAGCAGGGAUUGCUGCCAUGGCCAAGUUUGUUUUCUACAGUCCUAAACUUCCAACGAGAGUCUCUUUCUUCCGUGCUGCAAAUGGAGGCUACUAGCGACAGGACCGCCAUGGGUAGGCCUGGGAAUUACAGGCGUGGAGGAUUUCUGGGCAAGCCACUCGUUCCUGGGCGUGCCUGUGCCACUGCCGAUGUGGAUUUAGCCUUGCUGAAAUUACUGAGCUCUAUCCCCCAGGUAAUUAGAGCAGCAUGACCAACCAUUGCCAAAUUCCUUCCUAAGUGGAGAAGUUCCCAAUCCCUAAGAUCAAGGAAUGAAGAUAAGCUUUUCCACUUUGUUGUAUCAAGUAAUUUAACUUCCCAGUUCACUCUAAAUUAUUGUGUAUUGGCAACCUGAAUUAUCUAUUUUACAAAAAAGCAUAUAUACACUUCUGUAGUUCUAUGAGAUCAAUGGAGCAAGAAGGGCAUGCAGUAUUGUCUUCUGUCGCUUGGAAAUACUAAUUGAAAAAAGAUAUGCAGCAUUAGUAAUAUCCUUCUCAUAUGUGGUCCGAGACUCCGAGGGAGACGCCCAGUAAUGAGUGUAGUGGUCCUUGUAGAUAGGUUUUUCAUGACUUCAACAUGCGCCUUCCAUCUCAUUACUAUGUGUUACCCCAAAAUCCUAUGAGUUCAUAUACGAGUUUUUAAUCUCUGCAAGUAAAUUUUGAUAUUGUGUAAGGUCUGUAUGAUUAGAAUCCCAUGGGAAACUGUGUAAUCUCUUGUAAGACAAUAUGCAUGAGUUUAGACUCAUAUACCUAACCUGCAUAAUUGCUGGAAAUAUUUUGAACAAGUUAUAUCUCAUUUUUAUCUUACUUAGUUUAGUUUUGCGGCGAGGCAAAUCCUACAUGACACUCAUAGUCGACUGGACACACCAUGUCGUGCACUGGCCCAACAUGGUCAGAGAUGAGACCGACCGGUCGAAGUGGAGCCGGAGACGAUGUGGCCAAAUCGUACUUUAGUGCAUUAUAUUGUCUCUUGGCAGUCUUAGUUUCCCCUCAGUAAAUGAUAUAUGGUGUUUAUGUUGAAUACUGUUUCAUUGUUUCGAGGCACACCCGUUAGAACAAAUUCUGUAAUUUAGUAAUGUUUAGGGCAUUAUGGUUGUGAGUAGUUAUCUCUUAGUUUAACGAAUACGUGUACUUUUGCCUUGUUGCCACCUGCGAAAUGAAAUAUUGUAGUUUAACACUUCUGUCAAAUUUUGCUUAGUAGUUCCCCUGUAGUUAUUUGAUUCUUAUUUGACCUGCAUCAUUGCAAGUAUUUAUUCUUAACAAUUUUCCUUUUUUGUCCGUUCAAUGGGAAGCCAGAAGAUGUUCUAUAUCCAAAAACAAUUGGACAAGGUUGUACCUUCAGCAGUGUUUGAGUAAAUGCUGUCAGUUUUGUCAAUAGUUGGAGAAGAUAUUAUCAUCAAGCGCGCGCACAGUCCUAUGCUAGGAAAGAGAACUGGGAUUGGAAUGGGAUGUCCCAAUUUCUUUGCCGUGGGGCCAUGGAAAUCUGAGUUCUUCCUCUUCUUUUGACACAUGAGACAUGCCUUGUGGAGCUCUUUUUUCAUGAACUGCAUCUUAGCCCCUCUGUGUGGCAAAGUAUUGUUUGGAAUCUGCUACAUUGUGGCCAUUUUGUGGCCACAUCAGAUGCUUCUCUUGAGAGGCUGGUGAUAAUUUUGGGUUGUCUCCUGAAAUCUGGUCAAAAACUUGCCUUCUCACAUGAAAAGGAAUACAUGAAGAUGUUCGCUGUUGAAAACCAUUUUUUAUUCGUCCCUAAACUAGAUUUUACACAGUUAUAAUGCAUGAAGAUAUUCAUUGUUGAAAGCAUUUUUUAUUCGUUUUA